rnacentral:lncRNA from 1 species
CUAGACAUCCCAUUCCGAAUCCAUGAUUUUUUUUGUAAAACUGAAGACUUUUGGAUUCUCUUUCCUUGCUUUUUUUCUUAGCCUUGCUUCCAUGGUCUGCGUUAAGACCAAAAAGUGCCCCGCUUUCCACAAGGAUGG